GUGGCCUUGUGCAGGGCAUCCAGACGGCAAUCGGCAAUUUUCGCGUGGAGCCGGGCAACCUUUAAGCGGGCUUUGGCGCGGUUUUUUGAGCCUCUGGCCUUUUUGCUUAACCGGCGCUGGAGCAGCGCCAGGCGUGCCGCGUAUUUAGCGGUAUGGCGGGGGUUGCCGGAUUUGAAUCCGCUAUCGGUGACAAAUAAAUCUUUUAAACCAACAUCAAUGCCGACCAUUUUUGUGGUGAUCGGCAGUGAUGCAGGCUCAAACUCGCACAGGCACGAAACAAAGUACCGCCCGGCGGCAUCUUUGGUAAUGGUGACUGUGGAAGGGGUGGACGGCAGCGGGCGGCUCCAGCGGACGUCUAAUGGCGCUUUGCUCUUUGCCAUGUACAGCCUGCCGUCGCGGUAUUUAAAGGCACUGGCGGUGAAUUCUGCGGCCUGUUUAUGGCGCUUGCUUUUGAAUUUUGGAUAUCUGGCGCGCCCGGCGAAGAAGUUUGAAAAGGCGGUUUGCUGGUGGCGCAGCGACUGCUGGAGCGGUACGCAGGAAACAUCAUUCAGCCA
rnacentral:antisense_RNA from 1 species